GGCGGCAGGCCUAACACAUGCAAGUCGAGCGGAAACGAGUUAUCUGAACCUUCGGGGAACGAUAACGGCGUCGAGCGGCGGACGGGUGAGUAAUGCCUAGGAAAUUGCCCUGAUGUGGGGGAUAACCAUUGGAAACGAUGGCUAAUACCGCAUGAUGCCUACGGGCCAAAGAGGGGGACCUUCGGGCCUCUCGCGUCAGGAUAUGCCUAGGUGGGAUUAGCUAGUUGGUGAGGUAAGGGCUCACCAAGGCGACGAUCCCUAGCUGGUCUGAGAGGAUGAUCAGCCACACUGGAACUGAGACACGGUCCAGACUCCUACGGGAGGCAGCAGUGGGGAAUAUUGCACAAUGGGCGCAAGCCUGAUGCAGCCAUGCCGCGUGUGUGAAGAAGGCCUUCGGGUUGUAAAGCACUUUCAGUCGUGAGGAAGGUGGUGUAGUUAAUAGCUGCAUUAUUUGACGUUAGCGACAGAAGAAGCACCGGCUAACUCCGUGCCAGCAGCCGCGGUAAUACGGAGGGUGCGAGCGUUAAUCGGAAUUACUGGGCGUAAAGCGCAUGCAGGUGGUUUGUUAAGUCAGAUGUGAAAGCCCGGGGCUCAACCUCGGAAUAGCAUUUGAAACUGGCAGACUAGAGUACUGUAGAGGGGGGUAGAAUUUCAGGUGUAGCGGUGAAAUGCGUAGAGAUCUGAAGGAAUACCGGUGGCGAAGGCGGCCCCCUGGACAGAUACUGACACUCAGAUGCGAAAGCGUGGGGAGCAAACAGGAUUAGAUACCCUGGUAGUCCACGCCGUAAACGAUGUCUACUUGGAGGUUGUGGCCUUGAGCCGUGGCUUUCGGAGCUAACGCGUUAAGUAGACCGCCUGGGGAGUACGGUCGCAAGAUUAAAACUCAAAUGAAUUGACGGGGGCCCGCACAAGCGGUG
rnacentral:rRNA from 1 species